UUUUCGGAGAGUUUGAUCCUGGCUCAGAGUGAACGCUGGCGGCGUAGAUUAGGCAUGCAAGUCGAGCGAUACAUUUUUCUUGAGAUGGUGAAGCCGUAAGGCUGAUCUGUUGAAGGAAAAAUGAUAUAGCGGCAGAUUGGUGAGUAACACGUGAGUAAUUUACCUCUAAGUCGGGGAUAGCUUUGCGAAAGCGAGGGUAAUACCCGAUGUGCUUAUAGCUGCAUAAGAAGUUGUAAGUAAAGAAGGCUCGUAAGAGUUUUUGUUUAGAGAUGAGCUCGCGUCCUAUCAGCUAGUUGGCAGGGUAAUGGCCUACCAAGGCUUUUGACGGGUAGCUGGCCUGAGAGGGUGGUCAGCCACAUGGGGACUGAGACACUGCCCCGACUCCUACGGGAGGCUGCAGUCGAGGAUAUUUAGCAAUGGGCGAAAGCCUGACUAUGUGACGCCGCGUGAGGGAUGAAGGUCUUCGGAUUGUAAACCUCUUUCGAUAGGGAAGA
rnacentral:rRNA from 1 species